AUUUUCCUAGUUUCUCCUCCCCCUUUGCUUUUUGCUCUCUUGUUAGUAUAUUAAUUGUUUUCACUCUCUGAAUCUUUUUUCCCCAUUUCUUUGGCAGACAUUUUUACUUGUCAGAGUUCAGCCCCUUUUGCCCUCUUGCUUUCUUGCACUCUCUUUUCCUUCUGCCUUCUGUAGUGGGAUGAUGCAGCAAGAAGACCUUUACCAGAUGCAGGCCCCUCAACCUUGGACUUCCUAACAUCCAGAAGCUUGCUGGUCUCUCCCUGUCCUACAAAAGAGCAUACCUCUUCUGUAACCAGAAGGCCCUUUUGAUUAGUCAAGGCUGGACAGAGUGAGAUUGGGGGUGUGUGUGUGUGUGUGUGUGUGUUUGUGUGUGUCUUGAGACAGGGUCUCACUCUGUCACCAAGGCUAGAGUGCAGUGGUGAGAUCAGAGCUCACUGCAGCUUCCACUUCCUGGGCUCAAUUGAGUGAAAUUACCAUAAAAAUAAUAAUAGUAGCAGCUAAUAUUUACUGAGCUGUUACUAGGUGCAUCCAGGAAGAGAAACUGACUGGGCAACAUGUUAUUCAGGUACAAAAAGACUUGGACUGGAUAAGCCUGGGAGCGCCACGCGAACCCAGGGCUUAUUUCAUCCCUUAUCUAUGACUGUAAAAGACAGCCGUCCCCAAAGCGGCCAUUUCAGAGGCCUCCCCUUAGGGAUGCAUUCUCUUUCUCAGGGAUGUUCUUUGCUGAGAAAAAGAAUUCAGCAAUACUUCUCCUAUUUGCUUUUGAAAGAAGAGAAAUAUGGCUCUGUUCAACCCGGCCCACAGGCAGCCAGAGUUUAAGGUUAUCUCCCUUGUUCCCUGAAAUUGCUGUUAUCCUGUUCUUUUUUCAAGGUGCCCAGGUUUCAUAUUGUUUAAACAACUUGUGCAGUUAACGCAAUUAUCACAGGGUCCUGCGGGGACAUUCAUCCUCAGCUUACGAAGAUGACCGGAUUA
rnacentral:lncRNA from 1 species